UUGCAGUCAUCGUCUCCUGACUUGAUGGGCCACAGGAUUUAAUUCUUUGUCUGUAGUGUUUCAGUGUUCUUUUAUUGUCCUUCCAGGGAUUAGCUUAAGCCUGAAACAUCAUUGCUUUGACUAGCUCGCUCCUGCAGGAUGCCACACAAGAUCGGGUUUAUAGUUGUUAGUUCAUCGGGACACGAAGAUGGCUUCAGCGCGAAAGAGCUGAUGGUGCAUGCACCGACAGUGAACGGCUGGCGAUCGCCCAGACUCUGUCAGUAUCCCCAGGAAAUUGUUCUGCAGUUGGUGGAGAGAUGUCGAAUACGAAAGCUGCAGUUGCUUGCUCACCAGUACAUGAUUUCAAGCAAAAUUGAGUUCUACAUCAGCGAAAGCUUGCCUGAAUACUUUGCUCCUUAUCAGUCAGAGAGGUUUCACCGACUAGGUUAUGUCCCUCUCUCGGACAAUGAAAAGACGGAUUUCAAAGCGCGAGAGUUAAAAUCUGUGUAUAUGGAUGCAGUUGGCCAGUAUCUGAAGCUGAUUUUCCAUAAAAAUUAUGUCAAUAAAUACAACUUAUACAGUCAGGUUGCCCUAGUAGCUAUAAACAUUAUUGGAGACCCAGCAGACUACAGUAAUGACAGCAGUAACACUCCUUCGAGAGAGAAGCUGAUAGACCACUACUUAGGAAUUAAAUCAGAUGAUCCUGCCUUAGAUGGAACUUACCAUGGGAAACCUGACUCCAUUUCACCUCUGGAUGAUUUGGCUUUUGACAUGUACCAGGAUCCAGAAGUUGCUCAGAUAAUACGUAGGCUGGAUGAGAUGAAGCGUGAAGCUGUCCGUCAUGAACGCUACGAUUACGCCAAGAAACUCAAACAAGCUAUUGCAGACUUGCAAAAGGUAGGAGAGCGGCUUGGACGGUAUGAGGUGGAGAAGCGCUAUGCUGUAGAGAGAGAGGAUUAUGAUCUUGCUAAGAAGAAGAAACAGCAAAUGGAAGCAUACCGCCUGAAGGUAUAUCAGCAGCUGGAGCUCCACGACCUUCUGGAUGCAGAGCUGAUGAUUCGAAAACCACCUGAAUUGCCUGUGGAGUCUCUGAUUUAUACUGACAAUCCUCAGCACACAAAAGCUGCAAAUUCACCUCCUUGUGAGCACAGAGAACGGCAAAAAAGAGCGCCGUGGAGAGCACAGCCUUCACUGGAAGAGAAGUCCGUGGAUCUCACUUGUGCUGAGCCUAUUGUUCCCCAUCGAUCCCCUCCUCCUUCCGUGACUCAUCCCACAACCUCUGGGGAAGUGUUUCUCAGAGGAAACGUUGAAUUUUUACCUUAUGAUGAGAGACCUCUUCCAGCUGCCUGUAAACAGUCUGAUGAAGCAAUUCCGUACCUUGAGCCGGAGAGGACUGAAGAGGAGAUCAACGAUACUCCAAGCGGUGGCAUUACUGGGGAACCAGAGCCGUUGACUGAGAAGGCACUGAGGGAGGCCAGCCCUGCUAUUGAAGUUUUUGGAGAAGCUUUGGUUUCAGGAGCAUAUUCCAAAACGUGGUCGUAUCGCGAAGAUGCAUUACUGGCUGUAUAUAAGAAGCUGAUGGAGACAUCAGUAAACACUCCGAAGGACGAUUUAAAGAACAUGCUGAGGGCUGCCAUUUUUCUUGUAAGGAGAGCCAUCAAAGACAUAGUGUCUUCAGUUUUUCAAGCUUCCCUGAAACUUUUAAAAAUGAUCAUUAGCCAAUAUAUACCAAAGCAUAAACUAGGAAAACUAGAAACUUCUCAUUGUGUGGAAAAAACACUUCCAAAUCUGCUUUCUAGAACAGGAGACUCUUCAUCCCGUCUUCGCCUUGUGGCUUCUAACUUUAUUCAGGAAAUGGCACUGUGUAGUGAAGUUAAACCUCUUCAGAUUGUUCCAGUUCAUUUGGUUCAACCAUUAAAACCAAACUCCCCAACACAUCUGGCAAUGAGUCAAGUGGAAUUAGUGGAAAGCCUCUUGAAAGAGAUGGGAACCGAAAACUCUGGGUUUACCAUCGGCAACAUCAUGAAGUUUGCAGUGGGCGCUUUGGAACACAGAGUUUGUGAAGUUCGUGAUGUAGCGCUGCGGAUUAUCUUCAAUAUGUACAGGAAGCACAAGGCUGCUAUACUGGAAUAUCUUCCUCCAGAUGAUGCAAGCAUUCGCAAGACUGUUCUCUAUAAAACACUCUUUGAUGGAUUUACUAAAAUAGAUGGUAAACUUUCUGAAGCUGAAAUUAGGGCACAGAGAAAGGCAGCAACAGAAGAAGCAGAGAAACAGAAGAAGGAGGAAAUAAAAGUUCUGCAAGGUCAGCUGGCAGCUCUAAAGGAGAUGCAAGCAGAAGUUCAAGCAGGAAAGGAGAAAGAAUCUGGUUUUCAGAAGCCAAAGAAUCAAGGUUACCAGAUAAAAGAAAGCCCCCAGCCUGCAGCAGCAGAGAUUCCAGAUGACCAUUCUUCUGUUGCAGAUUACUUGGAUAACUUAUGUAUUUUUUGUGGUGAACGGGACAAAUCCUUCACAGAGGAAGGAUUGGAUCUCCAUUACUGGAAACACUGUCCUAUGUUAACCAGAUGUCAGCACUGCAAACAGGUGGUGGAAAUAGCGAGCCUGACAGAGCACUUGUUGACUGACUGUGAUAAGAAGGACAGCUUUGGGAAAUGUCAACGAUGCAGCGAGGCCAUUCCAAAAGAAGACUUGCCCACACAUAUUAAGAGCAAGACUUGCAAUCCUGCCAAACCAGAAAACGUGGCAAACCAUUGUCCAUUGUGCCAUGACAACUUUUCCCCGGGAGAGGAGGCCUGGAAGUCUCACCUAAUAGGCAACGAUGGCUGUAAAAUGAACCAACGGAGGUUAUCCACCAUAAAUAAAACUCUUCUGGUGCAGCCUGGCAAAAUAGGUGGCCAGCGUUUAAGGAAGCCAGGUCCUUCAGGAGCAAAAGCCCGACCUCCCUCUAUAGGAAGCAAGAUCCCAACCCCAAGAGGGGGCCCAAAUAAAAGCCCUGGCAAAACAUACUCAAAGCAAUGACAGGACAAGUAUUCUUUCCUUUGCCUUAAUAACUGGGCAUAGAGUUGAUAAUAGCUACUUAAAAAUCUUGGGCAACUCAUAUCAUCUUUCUCGUUUGACUGCUUGGGGCUGUUUAUCAGCCUUGAGCAGUACUCGCCUGGCCUGAUAACUUGUGCUAGCUGUCUGUGCGGCGCUGUGGCUUUCUCCUAGAAAUGUGCAUGUUAGAGGUACGCGUGUGUUCUGGGGCCGAUCCAGCCUGCUGUGUUCCCUGCAUGGCACCAGGAUGGCCGGGCACUGGGCUUUGGCCAGUGCCUCAUAUUAAAAAAACUCCUCCAUGAGUGUGGAGCUGACGUGGCCACACAGCGUAGCUGCUCUCGCAGUCGGCGCAAAGGCUCUGCCCUGUUAGGGGAUUACUCCGGGGCUGUGGUUCCAACACUCUGGGUUUGAGAUCCAGAUCCAAAAGCCACGGUCAGUUGUGUUUUGCCUUUCUUUUUGGGAAGAGCAAGAAACCUGCCAAGCAGAAGUUGUACUGCACUUUCUGGACGGACAGAGCAGACAGGCAUUUGUUCUUGUGUGACGCUUGUUUGCAAUGAGACGUUCUGAAAGCUUGGGAAGUCAUACCUGUGUUUGCUGAUGUCAUCACCUGACCAAUGUAAUAAUCGCAGAAUAUAUUGCUGAUAGUUUUCUGCCAAAAUUGACUUUAGAACUUGCUGAAAGUAAUAGCGGAUGUACAGUGAGCAAAAGAGGCAUGUUGUAGUCGCGCAGGUUCAUGUGAUGUGACGAUGAUGUUGGUAUGUUGGCAAUAAGUGCCUUAUCAGUCCACCUGACAGGAGGGUUAAGCAAAACUGCAAGUGUUUGGUACGUAAUAAGAGUGUGUAUCGAUGGAGCUACUGUAAAAAUUCAAGUUUUGCUUUAAAAUCUCAGAGGAAAUUCUGAAAUACAUCCCCAAGAAAUGCCCCCUUAAAGAAAAUGAGAACAGCUUAGCGGGGCUCUGAAAAGCUCAAAUUCAUAAAUUUAGACCUUUUUUUACUGCUUCAGCGUACUUUCAGCUUGCUUCUAAAUCCAGCUCUGAUACUGAGUUUCUCUAGUUAGAUCUUGAUUAAAAUAAACAUCCAUAGACUACAGCAUGGGAGCAUUUCAUAGCUUCAAAGAGAACAAAUUCUGUGAGGACCCAAUGGAUGAAGCUUUGUACCUAAAGCAAUAAUCCUGACACUUCCACUUGUACCACGGGGGCCGUUGUUUCCCAGGAUAGAAUUAACUGGUCCCUCGUUGACGUACCCACGGGUACAAGAAUGUUUGUGGUAACAGAAGUUUUAGUUUUUUGCUCCCACGGAGCCAAUUUGCAGUCCAGUUUUGCAUAUACAGCACUGGUUUUCUCAUAGGUGGGUUUUAUAGUUUUUGUGCAGCCUGUCUACAAGCUCGUGAAUUUUGCAGGUAGAUUGGCAUGCUUGUAUUUUGAAAGUUUUUAUAUAAAUGGUUUCUUUACCUCUUCCAAAUAUAUAUAUCAAUAAAUAUACAUACAUUAGGAAUAUAUAUAUUAACAUAUAUAUUUUUUUUUUUCUAGUUUAGCGACACAUGUUCCUAUUCGAGAACGGGAACUGUACCGUAACCCUCUGCAGCUUUUUCACUGCAGAAUCUCGGGCUGGAGAUUCCUGCCUCUUCCCUGCCCUUCCCACCCACCGUCCCUACCUAAGGAGCAGGAGAAGCACAUCAUGGAGCCUUUGUCCAGUGGCUUUUAGAAGACAAACGCAUAGGCAAGGGCACCCCACUUUGCAUCUCAGGGCUUUGUAAUUUUUGUUCAAAUCCAGAACAGCUCUUUAGCGACAUUUUAAAGAAAUCAUUUAAAUAUUGUAGAGUGCAAAAUGUUCACUGAGAUUGCUGGAUAUCCUUAGACUUCUCGAGUGAGGUAUAAAGGUAAUAUUAAUUACUCGAUGGUAUGGAUUGCAAAUACCUUAGAAGUGAGAAAAUGGGAAUUUUUUUGAAUGUGAAAGGACCGUCUUUGAGCAUAGUAGUACCACCAAUGUAAUUUUUAAAGAGUGAUUUCACUGGGCUGCUUCAUUUCACUUAAUAAACAACCUGUGUUUUCUGCAGUGGCAAAACAAACACUGGUGUGAAAAACAGCCAAGUUUGUUCCUGUGCGAUGAAGUCUCGAGCGAAAUGUUCCAGAGCAAACAUGUCAUGCCGGUGCAGUUCUGGCUAACGGAAAGGAGUUCUCCAAAGCGUUGGCCUGGAAAACCUCAAUCGGCAACAGUGCUGCAGAGACGACUUGAGCAGCUGGUGUCCCUGCGAGCAGGAGUUCACCGAACCUCCAGCGACUGCUUGGAUCCCGCUGCCCUGCGAGAGCUUUUAUAUAGAUUUUGGAGAGGCAGAUAAGGUGUUUAAAUCCUAGAGAUUUUAUCGCUGUCAUUUAAAGAGAAAAAGGCACUAUGUUAAACACU